rnacentral:rRNA from 1 species
UUGGCGGACGGGUGAGUAACGCGUGGAUAACCUGCCGUAUGCAGGGGGAUAACAGUUGGAAACAGCUGCUAAUACCGCAUAAGCGCACAGUACCGCAUGGUACGGUGUGAAAAGAUUUAUCGGCAUACGAUGGAUCCGCGUCCGAUUAGCCAGUUGGCGGGGUAACGGCCCACCAAAGCGACGAUCGGUAGCCGGCCUGAGAGGGCGGACGGCCACAUUGGGACUGAGACACGGUCCAAACUCCUACGGAAGGCAGCAG